rnacentral:lncRNA from 1 species
AAAAUUAUUAGCAAAAAUUGAUUGCUUUUAAUUUAGAUUUAAAAAUACAUUAUUGAAAUAAUUAAAAUUUAAUAAUUGAAAUUAAUUUCUUUAUUUUGCUUUUAUGAUAUAUAAAAACUGAACACUGAAAUAUUUUAUUAUACUAUGCUUAAUAAAAUAAUUGAAAUUCUUAAAUCUACUUAUGUUGGCUGAAGAGCUGUGUUGUAAAGCAUUUGCUUUAUUACCUUGGAGGAUUUGUCUCAUACCUUCAGUUUUUUGGAAGAUGUCUGGGCCUAACUCAUCAAAUUCAAUCUUUCACCCUUUCAGUUGACCCUACCAUGAAUGUUGGCCAAUCUUUUGUGGGCUCUAAAAGUGGUUACCAACAGGUACAGAAUAUUAUAAAUGUGAUAUGGCAGUUUAACUAACAUAACCUAACUUAAUCUACUUAUAUUUUUAUCAGUUCAUAAAUUAAAAAAAUAUUCUUAAUGAAUUUAAAGGCUUACAUAUGGAAUAGUUUCAUAAAGUUCUAUGACUGGUGCUGUAUUACCAAAUUUGGUGAUAUGAAAACAUUUUAAAACAGCCACUUUCAAAGUACUAUCCUUCCACAGUCAUACACUUUUGCCAAUGCUCAUAUAACUGUUCAAGACUUUUCUGAAACCCUUGGUUGGAGACCCAUUUAAUAGUAUCCUUUGAAGCUGCUUUCACAGCAUCAUCAUCAUGGAAACAUUGCCCAUUUUUAAUAGCACCUUCAAUUUUGAGAAAAGGUAAAAGACACAAGAUGAAAAGUCUAGCAAAUAGGGAGGAUAUGGAAGUAUUGCUAUGCCCAUUUUAGCCAGAUAUAAUUUUGAAACAGACAUGAACAAUGUGCUGGAAUAAUAUUGUGAAGAGUACCCAGUUCUUAUCUGCCUAAUGUUCUAAGCACUUCAAUAAAUUGCUUCUCUUAAAUACAUUUGUACAACAUUGGUAGAUAGCACUCCUUGUUGACAGCAUCAUCUUAUGGAAUGAACACAACAAAAAAUGCUUUUUUAAUUAAAAAAAAAACACCUCCAUUAUUACUUUUCCUUUAAGUUCAUUUAGAAUUUUUCUUAAAGAUGAUGUAAACUUCACAUGGAUAUUUGAUUUGAAGAUCAUCACUGUCUCAUGCCUGGAGAUGAUUUUGUGCAGAAGUAUCAGAUCCUUAUCAAUGAGGUCACUACAAACACUUCUGAUGCUGGUCCAUAUUGAGAUUUUGAGGAGCAUUGUAUUAAUGCACUCUGUGUAUGUUAAAAAUCACUUGUUAGAAUUGCAUGACAAUUUCCAAUCAAAAUUCCAACCUUCUCCAUUAUCUGUUCAACUAUUUGAUGCUGAUCUGUUACCGUAAUUUCCUACAUAUUUUUAACAUUUCAGGAUGAUGAUAGCCUCCAACAUGAUCAUCGUCAUCAAGCAAUUUUUGACUAUGUUUGAAUCUCUUGAAUUAUUCAAACACUUUUGAUUGAAAAAACAGAUUCCCCCCAUAAACUUUUCACAUAAUUUUUCAGGUUGUAGUAGCAGAUUUAUCUAAACACUGAUAGAAUUUAAACUUUGGUCAUUGUUUAAAUUGCAACAUCUUUUCACUUUGAUGAAUGCAUGAAAUGUAUAUUCCUCCAAUAUCGAGCACAUUCAUCCUAUGAUCAUGUGAUGGAUGAUUCCAUUUUCAUAGUAAGAGGGAGAUAUCAUUGUACAUUCCAAAAUGUGUAGGCGACACUUUAGUUAUAUUUGUCUUAAAAACACAAGUUCUGGAACUUUUUGAAACUAAUUCGUAUAUUUUUAGUUCUAGUUUUGAUCUGCAGCUAUUUUGGAUCCCACACUUCUAGAAUUUUUUUUUUUAUAUAGGUGGUGGUCUUAGUCUGACUGUUUAGUGAAUACCAUAUUUCACCUGGCAGAUCCCAUGGAUAACCAAUGAUAUUCUUAUAUGCCCAUAUCUGAAAAGUUGGAGAGUGGUAUAAAAUAAAAAAAAAAAAAAAAAAAAGCGUUUAUUAUUACAUUUGAGUGUAUGAGAUUAUAUUAAAUCUUGAUUAAGAGUUGUUUAUUUUUACCAAGAACAAAAGUUUAUUUUUAUCAAGAAGUUGUUUAUUUUUAAUUAUAUUGUAAAACUAUUUCAAAAAUAUCCAGCAGAAACUCUUCAUAAUCUGAAACUAAAAAUAUAAGAUGCAUAUAGCUGGCUCUGUGGCAGGAGGGAGGUGAUUUCACUUCAAUACAAGUUGGGGAGA